UUCUCCUGCCUCAGCCUCCCAAGUACCUGGGACUACAGAUCUUUAGAUAAGCACUCUUUCAACCAAAUGCCAAUCAGAAAAUCUUUGAAUCCACCUGUGAGCUGGAAGCCCCGCUGUGCUUUGUGUUGUCCUGCCUUUUCGGACCAAUGUAAAUCUCACAUGUACUGAUUGAUGCCUACAUCUCCUUAAAACGUAUAAAAUCAAGCUGUAACCCAACCACCUUGGGCAUGUGUUCUGAGGACCUCUUGAGGCUGUGUCACUGGUCAUGAUCCUUAACCUUGGCAACAUAAACUUCUAAACUGA
rnacentral:lncRNA from 1 species